AUGGAUGUCGGGAUUGUGUCAUUCCUCUGUAGCCAGGAGGCAACAGGAUUUAACAAUAUUUGUUAUCUAUGCUCACAAGAAAAACAGACUACUGCUUGUGCUGAGAAUUUAAGAAUAUGUUUGAUCUUUCAGACCCUCUUGAUUCAGAACUAUCUAUGGCCUGGACUACUACAGGAUUGUAUCUUUUUCUUGCCAUGGAGAUCUUGUAGCUGUGGUUUGGCAGAACAAGUCCCUUCACAACCUCCAGACGUCAUGGAUGGGGUAGAUAUUGAGAUAAGUAGAGCUCUCACUCUUCAUCAAAGAAACUUAUUUUCACAGCUGCCAGAUAUAGAAAUCCACAAUUGGCCAAAACACAGAGACCUGACCAUGUGAAGCCCAAUCUGAAUGGAUCCAUCUACAAUAAACCCCCAUACCUAAGGGAUUCUCUGCAGCUUUGGAGUCUGUCCUGGAACUCGAUCUGUAAACCAGGCUGGACCCUAACUCACAAAGAUCCACCUACCUCUGCCUCUGGAGUUCUGGGAUUAAAGGUGUAUGCCACUACUGCACAAAGCAAUUAUCUUUUGGUUUUUUGAGACAGGGCCUCUCUAUGUAGCCCUGGAUGUCCUGGAACUGACUCUGUGGACCAGGCUGGCCUUGAACUCACAAAGAUCUGCUUGCUUCUGCCUCUAAGUGCUGGGAUUAAAGACUUGUACCACCACUGCCCAGAUCAACAUAACUUGCAAAAAAGAAUAAUGUGCCAUAUCUUUUUUAGAUGAAAUCUGAAAAUAUAUUUAGAAUAUUUAAAAAUACAUCUGCUUUUAUAUAUAUCUAGCAGUUUAACCAUCAGAAAUGUACUGUAAGAGAAUAAUAAAGCAUUCAGACAAGUUAUACCCCA
rnacentral:lncRNA from 1 species